rnacentral:rRNA from 1 species
CUACCCUUGACAUGCCACUAAUGAAGCAGAGAUGCAUUAGGUCCCCGAAAGGGAAAGUGGACACAGGUGCUGCAUGGCUGUCGUCAGCUCGUGUCGUGAGAUGUUGGGUUAAGUCCCGCAACGAGCGCAACCUUUGUCUCUAGUUGUUAGGAAAGGCCACUCUAGAGAGACUCCCGGUGACAAACGGGAGGAAGGGGGGGAGGACGUCAAGUCCUCAUGGCCCUUAUGGGUAGGGCUUCACACGUCAUCCAAUGGUACAUACAGAGGGCCGCCAACCCGGGAGGGGGAGCUAUUCCCAGAAAGUGUAUCGUAGUCCGGAUUGGAGUCUGCAACUCGACUCCAUGAAGUCGGAAUCGCUAGUAAUCGUGGAUCAGCAUGCCACGGUGAAUACGUUCCC